GUGCGUUCGUGUGUGUGCGUGUGUGUGCACGCGCGCACGUGUGAGUAUGGUAGUUUGAGCGCAUUUCCCCAUCACCUUGAGUGCGACAAUGUGUACACACGCAUUGGAUGACGAAAAUGCUUCCAUAGGCUCACUUCCACCCGGAAGCGGGAGAAACAGUAGCUGGAAGCUGCGUUUCCCGGACCGAAGCCGAUGCAGAGGAAAAGGUCUCUAGACUUCCGUGUCUGACUGUCUCUCCCAGACUCACCAGUUGGUCUGGCUGCAGCUGCCGCCGUCACGCUACUGGUUGCUACUGUGAUGCUGCCAUCCUACCUGCUCUCUGUCUCCUGCAGAUGGUUCUUCCAGUGUCAGAGAGGCUGCGCUUCCUGCCCGCGAAACAAUCCUGGGAAAACGCCGCUGGAAAGAGAUGCAUGGGCUGGAUCCAAAUAGCCCGCAACUACUUCCUGUUCACUUCCUGGUCUCUUUACGCGGUGUGAUAGGUGAAACCAAUAGCUAGUCAGGGCCAUCCCUAUUGCUCCCGGCUGGAGAAGAGGAGCGAUAGAAUCCCUCAUGUCUCGUUUAUUGACAUGCCACCCUAUUAAAACACUGUGUGUACAGCGUCCACUGGGCUCCCCGUGCCGCCAUUGUGGAGCUGGAUCACACAGUGUAUUGAAACGUAUACAGGCUCCAUAGAGAGCCAUUUUGGAGCGAUUGCACUACACUCUAUUCAAACACAUACAGUCUGGAUGGGGUUCUUCCGGAACCACUUUGAAGACGAACCGCACACUGUAUUGUAACAAUGUGGGAGUAUGUCUGGAUGAUUCCGAGUCAGACUGAUGGGACUCUGGGGCUGGGUGAGGCUUGCACCUGUUGUUGAGCAAUCAGUGUGCACAGGUUGAACCAGCCAUCCCCACACAAGGAGAGAUCUGCUGCAUGGCAACAUUGAUCACCAGCUCAUUCAUCAUCCUCUGCAAAACUUAAAAUAAACCAG
ensembl:lncRNA